rnacentral:rRNA from 1 species
UACGUAGGGGGCUAGCGUUGUCCGGAAUCAUUGGGCGUAAAGAGCGCGUAGGCGGCCAGAUAAGUCCGGUGUGAAAGUCACAGGCUCAACCUGUGAAUGCCGCUGGAAACUGUCUGGCUAGAGUCCGGAAGGGGCGAGUGGAAUUCCUGGUGUAGCGGUGAAAUGCGCAGAUAUCAGGAGGAACACCAAUGGCGAAGGCAGCUCGCUGGGACGGUACUGACGCUGAGGCGCGAAAGCAUGGGGAGCGAACAGG